UUGUAGUUAAAUUUUGGAAAGAUUAUACUAGUUUCUUGGUAUAUGAGUAACAUAGUGAAAAAGUGAGCUUCAUUUAUCUUUAAAAAAUAUCCUUAAGAUUUUCUUGAUAAGACAAGAAUGACAGAAUGCAAAUCAUGUUCUAAACCUAUAAGUGUUGUUUAUGUUUUGUUCAAAAUAGCGAGACUCUAUCCAUAAUUAUGUUAACAAACAAUAUGUUCUCUCCAGUAUGCUAUUAUUAGAAGACAGACAUUACAUUUUCUAUCAAUUGCUUAUGUAGUUUCAUGCGUGAUCUUAAA
rnacentral:lncRNA from 1 species